UAACGCGUGGGUAACCGUGCCUCAUACAGGGGGAUAACAGUUAGAAAUGACUGCUAAUACCGCAUAAGCGCACAGUGCUGCAUGGCACAGUGUGAAAAACUCCGGUGGUAUGAGAUGGACUCGCGUCUGAUUAGCUAGUUGGUGGGGUAACGGCCUACCAAGGCGACGAUCAGUAGCCGGCCUGAGAGGGUGAACGGCCACAUUGGGACUGAGACACGGCCCAA
rnacentral:rRNA from 1 species